rnacentral:rRNA from 1 species
AAGUUUGAAAGAUGCAAUUGCAUCACUCAAAGAUGAUCCCGCGUUGUAUUAGCUAGUUGGUGAGGUAAAGGCUCACCAAGGCGAUGAUACAUAGCCGACCUGAGAGGGUGAUUGGCCACAUUGGGACUGGGACACGGCCCAAACUCCUACGGGAGGCAGCAGUAGGGAAUCUUCGGCAAUGGACGAAAGUCUGACCGAGCAACGCCGCGUGAGUGAAGAAGGUUUUCGGAUCGUAAAACUCUGUUGGUAGAGAAGAACGUUGGUGAGAGUGGAAAGCUCAUCAAGUGACGGUAACUACCCAGAAAGGGACGGCUAACUACGUG